CAGUAGCCACGGGAAUACGAAGGGGGCUAGCGUUGUUCGGAAUCACUGGGCGUAAAGCGCACGUAGGCGGACUUUUAAGUCAGGGGUGAAAUCCCAAGGCUCAACCUUGGAACUGCCUUUGAUACUGGAAGUCUUGAGUUCGGGAGAGGUGAGUGGAACUGCGAGUGUAGAGGUGAAAUUCGUAGAUAUUCGCAAGAACACCAGUGGCGAAGGCGGCUCACUGGCCCGAUACUGACGCUGAGGUGCGAAAGCGUGGGGAGCAAACAGGAUUAGAGACCCCGGUAGUCCCUGUCUCUUAUAC
rnacentral:rRNA from 1 species